rnacentral:hammerhead_ribozyme from 1 species
AUCCAGUUGACGAGUCCCAAAUAGGAAGAAACGCGCGGCCUGGAU